rnacentral:rRNA from 1 species
UACGAGGGGGGCAAGCGUUGUUCGGAAUUAUUGGGCGUAAAGGGCGCGUAGGCGGUGCGGAAAGUCUUCAGUGAAAUCUCUGGGCUCAACUCAGAGUUGGCUGGGGAAACUCCCGUGCUUGAGUGUGGGAGAGGUGAGUGGAAUUCCAGGUGUAGCGGUGAAAUGCGUAGAUAUCUGGAGGAACACCGGUGGCGAAGGCGGCAUCCUGGACCAAUUCUGACGCUGAGUGAGCGAAAGCCAGGGGAGCAAACGGG